rnacentral:rRNA from 1 species
UACAGAGGGGGCAAGCGUUGUUCGGAAUUACUGGGCGUAAAGGGCGCGUAGGCGGCCUGCUAAGUCGAACGUGAAAUCCCCGGGCUCAACCCGGGAACUGCGUCCGAUACUGGUUGGCUUGAAUCCGGGAGAGGGAUGUGGAAUUCCAGGUGUAGCGGUGAAAUGCGUAGAUAUCUGGAGGAACACCCGUGGCGAAGGCGGCUCUCUGGGACGGUACUGACGCUGAGACGCGAAAGCGUGGGGAGCGAACAGG